rnacentral:tRNA from 1 species
GGUGGCUCAGUGGUAGAGUGCUUGUCUAGUAUGCAUGAAGCCCUGGGUUCAAUUCCUCAGUACCA